UCUGCCCCUAGAGGCCUUGCAGGUGUGGCUGCUGUGUCACAUGGGUGUCAGUAGGUGGCAGAGUGGAAAGAAGCUAUGUCUAAGCUCAGGGUUCUGACCUAACAUUCCCUGAAAAAAGAGAUCCUGAGAUC
ensembl:snoRNA LOC120100433 small nucleolar RNA SNORA17